rnacentral:lncRNA from 1 species
GGAGAUUCCUGUCAAUUCUCAAAUGAGAGCUCUAGUUCCCACUCAGUCUGACUUCUCUAGUUCCACACAAAUCCUCUUCUUGUGCUCUUCUACUCUUUUCCACCUACUGUUGUCGGGCUCAAAGCUGACUGAAGCAUCGGAGGGUCAAGAAUCAGAAGAUCCCCAUCCGCUUUUUGACUUAUCUUGUAGGUCUUCUUGAAGCUAU